rnacentral:rRNA from 1 species
AUUGAACGCUGGCGGCAUGCCUUACACAUGCAAGUCGAACGGCAGCACGGGGGCAACCCUGGUGGCGAGUGGCGAACGGGUGAGUAAUGCAUCGGAACGUGCCCCGUAGCGGGGGAUAACCAGUCGAAAGACUGGCUAAUACCGCAUACGCUCCACGGAGGAAAGCAGGGGAUCGCAAGACCUUGCACUAUGGGAGCGGCCGAUGCCCGAUUAGCUAGUUGGUGAGGUAAAGGCUCACCAAGGCGACGACGGGUAGCCGGCCUGAGAGGGCGACCGGCCACACUGGGACUGAGACACGGCCCAGACUCCUACGGGAGGGCAGCAGUGGGGAAUCUUGCGCAAUGGGCGAAAGCCUGACGCAGCGACGCCGCGUGAGGGAUGACGGCCU